AUUGAACGCUGGCGGCAGGCCUAACACAUGCAAGUCGAGCGGAUCAGCGGACGGGGGAGUAAUGCCUAGGUAUCUGCCUGGUAGUGGGGGAGAAGGUCCGGAAACGGGCGCUCAUACCACAUACUAUCACAUUCGCCUGGGUCGGGUUGGCUUGGUGGUGGGGUAAAGGCCUACAAAGGCGACGAUCCGUAACUGGUCUGGGAGGAUGAGCAGCCACACUGGAAUUGAGACACGGUCCAGACGCCUACGGGAGGCAGCAGUGGGGAAUAUUGGACAAUGGGCGAAAGCCUGAUCCAGCCAUGCCGCGUGUGUGAAGAAGGUCUUCGGAUUGUAAAGUACUUUAAGUUGGGAGGCGUUACCAACAGAAUAAGCACCGGCUAACUCCGUGCCAGCCGCCGCGGUAAUAC
rnacentral:rRNA from 1 species